rnacentral:tRNA from 1 species
GCAUCCGUAGCUCAAUUGGAUAGAGCACUGGGCUUCGAACCCAGGGGUUGGGGGUUCGAGUCCCUCCGGGUGCG